rnacentral:rRNA from 1 species
UACGUAGGGGGCUGAGCGUUGUCCGGAAUCAUUGGGCGUAAAGAGCGUGUAGGCGGUCCGGUAAGUCCGCUGUGAAAGUCGGGGGCUCAACCCUCGAAUGCCGGUGGAUACUGUCGGGCUAGAGUGCGGAAGAGGCGAGUGGAAUUCCGGUGUAGCGGUGAAAUGCGCAGAUAUCGGGAGGAACACCUAUGGCGAAGGCAGGCUUGCUGGGA